CACUGGCUCCCUAUACAUUUAGAGUUUUUUUUAAGAUCCUAUUAUUUGUUUUCAAAUCUUGAAAUGGCCCCGCCCCACCUUAACUCUUUGACCUCCUUCGCUCCUACGCACCUGCCCGGUGAAAAUCAACUCAUAUUACUGCCGCUUACCAAAGUUAGUUGGAAUAAAUUCAACUCGUAUCUCGCGGCACCACCACAAAUGGAAUCAAUAUUGCUCUGUCUUCUCCAUGCUGGUUGCGAGUGUUCUCAUUUUGUAUUUGUGUUUUUGACGCGUUCAAUAAAUGUUUGAGACUGUUACCGUCCUUUCUUUUUUACUUCAUUCUUCUUCAAAUUUGAGCAAACAGGGACAGUAGUGAACCAAAGUAACACCGUCCAAAUAAGUUUACCACUGAAAUAUGAAAACAGUGAAACAAAGUAAAGAAACGCGUAGGAGAAAGGUGAAUGGUGCCGCAACGCAGCUCAGAUUUUAAUACCCAUAAUUGUCACAGAAGUAUGAAGUGCUUAUUUAUUUAUUUUUUUUUUUGUAUGGUUACCUACUAAAGCGCCACACACACACACACACACACAGACAGAAUAACCUUCAGGCUAGAAAUUGAAACUUCUUUGUGACUACCUGUAACUGAACUUGAGAAGACUCCUUUUCUUCUUUUUAUAUAUUUAUUUUUUUUACCUCCCACUAGGAGAUUAAAUUUUUCAGAGAGCAGAUAUUAAGACUUUUGUGUUUACAGACAGAGGAAUGAGUGAACACAUCCCUGGAAGUGAUGCAUUUUCUUUUCUUUUUUUUUUUUAUUUUUUUUAUCUGCAUACUUAAGACUUCUUUUUUGUCCGUACCUGUAUUUGUUUGCGACGAUAAGAAUAUUGAAAGAGGCUCUCCUAAUUUUCUACGGCGGAUUAAAAAAAGGAUAAGCUUCGUAUCUAAAAUCAGUUCGUGAGCGGGAAAAAAUGUGGAAAACUGCAACCUUGCUUUCCCACUUUCUCCUUCCUCUCUCGCCUACUCCUCUCCACCGUGUACAGGAGAUUGGCUAUAAAAAGACAGACUAGAAGGCCGCGGGGAUACAAUUAGGCAGCAACCUUAAAGGCUCUCUCAUCGUCGCCAGGCCUCGGAUGACCACUGUGCUGACCCCAUGUUUAUUAGAUUGACCUCUGCCUGGACGCAUUAUUAGCGAUGUCGUGCGUGCUUGUGUGUGUACAAGACGCGGAGAGCUCGGGCGUCAACUUCGGCGGUUUCUGCGAGUGUCUGUUCCAAGGUGUGUUGUGUGGAAGAGUUGGAGAGGGAGGCGGUUGGUGGAUCGAAGUCGGCACCUUGGGUCAAGUUUAGCGCUCUGACAAUCAUGAGAGCAAAUAAGCCGACAUUCUCGGCGAGUGUGCUCCCUGAGCGGGGCUCCCUUUAACAUGCGCCUCUGGAAAAGCCAAACACAACCUCCUCACACUGCUUAUCUAUCAUUUAUAUCCAAUUUGAGGCCAAAAUGUUCCUCUCACAUUACUUUUGACUUGUGUUUUGUUCCCCCCUUUUUUUUAUCCCUACAGCACAAACCGAUCAAUGCCCCGGCGCUCUACCGUUCACCCUGAACUGCCGGUGAACUCCCGCGGAACGCCGGCAGGCUCUCCACCCCGAUCCCAUCGGUUUGAGGGUCACCAGGGGGGCGUCGCUGUGCCAAUAUGCAGAUGAGCCCAUGCCCCUCCGAUGACUCUGGCCUGAAGCCCCGCCCCUCUCUCUGCCGGCGGCUUUGAAUCGAGGGUCGACCCCCCUGACAACAACCUGCUCCGACACACGAAAUAGGCCUUUAACAGCGUGGGGAAGCCCAAUGGCCGGUCUUCAUGAGCCACUGAAGACGGAAAGUGUGGCGGUGGUGAGAAGGAGGAGGAGAGGGAUUACCUCAGCGACGGCACAAAUCAAAUUAAUAUCUUUAAAAGAUGUGGGGAUCAAUGAGGUGUCACCCAGCUAUACACCGCGAGUGUAAAGUGACCCCCAUAAACAGGACGGCACUACGUUUUAGCAGCGGACUGAAAAUGUUGAUCAAGAGAUAAGUGGAUUUAUUGACGAGCAAUUCAACUAAAACACUACUAAAUAAAAUCAGUCAUUUGAAAUAUUUGGACAGAUGUUUUGGGAACUAAAGCUCCUUGUCUCUUUUUUCCCCCCAACCCCUUACCACAAUUAUUAUAACUACAUUAGUCUGUCAAAGUUCAAGAUAUGUGCAAUAUUAUGCAAAAAUACCAAUAAUAUAAUAUAUAAUAUAUAACAUAAUGUGGGAGUGAGAACCAAACACUGGUGACUGUCAUUUGAUAAAAA